AACGAACGCUGGCGGCGGGGUUUAGGCAUGCAAGUCGAGCGAGAAAGGGGAAACCCGAGUAAAGCGGCGUAAGGGUGAGUAAUAGGUAGUUCACGUAUCCUCCAGAUGCGGAUAAUUCCCCGAAAGGGGUUGUAAUACGCGAUGAGACCACGCGGGAUCCGUCCUGUGAGGUCAAAGGUUCGGGAUCCUUCGGGACCGAGCGCUGGUGGAGCGGACGACCUCCGAUUAGCUAGAUGGCGGGGUAACGGCCCACCAUGGCGAUGAUCGGUAGCCGGCCUGAGAGGGUGUUCGGCCACACUGGGACUGAGACACUGCCCAGACUCCUACGGGAGGCUGCAGUCGCGAAUCAUUCACAAUGGGCGCAAGCCUGAUGAUGCCACGCCGCGUGCGGGAUGAAGGCCCUUUGGGUUGUAAACCGCUGUCAAGGGAGGGGAAACGGCGUACGUGAAUAGCGUACGUUUUGACUGCUUCCUAAGGAAGCCCCGGCAAAACAUGUGCCAGCCGCCGCCGUAACACCUGG
rnacentral:rRNA from 1 species